rnacentral:rRNA from 1 species
GACGAACGCUGGCGGCGUGCUUAACACAUGCAAGUCGAACGGAAAGGCCCUGCUUUUGUUGGGUGCUCGAGUGGCGAACGGGUGAGUAACACGUGAGUAACCUGCCCUUGACUUUGGGAUAACUUCAGGAAACUGGGGCUAAUACCGGAUAGGAUCUCCUGCUGCAUGGUGGUUGUUGGAAAGUUUCGGCGGUUGGGGAUGGACUCGCGGCUUAUCAGCUUGUUGGUGGGGUAGUGGCUUACCAAGGCUUUGACGGGUAGCCGGCCUGAGAGGGUGACCGGCCACAUGGGGACUGAGAUACGGCCCAGACUCCAACGGGAGGCAGCAGUGGGGAAUAUUGCACAAUGGGCGGAAGCCUGAUGCAGCAACGCCGCGUGCGGGAUGACGGCCUUCGGGUUGUAAACCGCUUUCGCCUGUGACGAAGCGUGAGUGACGGUAAUGGGUAAAGAAGCACCGGCUAACUACGUG